AGUGAACGCUGGCGGUAGGCCUAACACAUGCAAGUCGAACGGCAGCACAGUAAGAGCUUGCUCGUACGGGUGGCGAGUGGCGGACGGUUGAGGAAUACAUCGGAAUCUACUUUUUCGUGGGGGAUAACGUAGGGAAACUUACGCUAAUACCGCAUACGACCUACGGGUGAAAGCAGGGGAUCUUCGGACCUUGCGCGAUUGAAUGAGCCGAUGUCGGAUUAGCUAGUUGGCGGGGUAAAGGCCCACCAAGGCGACGAUCCGUAGCUGGUCUGAGAGGAUGAUCAGCCACACUGGAACUGAGACACGGUCCAGACUCCUACGGGAGGCAGCAGUGGGGAAUAUUGGACAAUGGGCGCAAGCCUGAUCCAGCCAUACCGCGUGGGUGAAGAAGGCCUUCGGGUUGUAAAGCCCUUUUGUUGGGAAAGAAAAGCAGCAGGUUAAUACCCCGCUGUUCUGACGGUACCCAAAGAAUAAGCACCGGCUAACUUCGUG
rnacentral:rRNA from 1 species